rnacentral:rRNA from 1 species
AUACGAAGGGUGCAAGCGUUACUCGGAAUUACUGGGCGUAAAGCGUGCGUAGGUGGUUGUUUAAGUCUGUCGUGAAAGCCCUGGGCUCAACCUGGGAAUGGCGAUGGAAACUGGGCGACUAGAGUGUGGCAGAGGGUAGUGGAAUUCCUGGUGUAGCAGUGAAAUGCGUAGAGAUCAGGAGGAACAUCCGUGGCGAAGGCGACUGCCUGGGCCAACACUGACGCUGAGGCACGAAAGCGUGGGGAGCAAACAGGAUUAGAUACCCUGGUAGUCCACGCCCUAAACGAUGCGAACUGGAUGUUGGGUGCAAUUUGGCACGCAGUAUCGAAGCUAACGCGUUAAGUUCGCCGCCUGGGGAGUACGGUCGCAAGACUGAAACUCAAAUGAAUUGACGGGG